rnacentral:misc_RNA from 1 species
AAGUCGUAACAAGGUUUCCGUAGGUGAACCUGCGGAAGGAUCAUUACCACAAACAACAUUAUUAUUAUAAUUUGAGAACGGUUUGUUUGGAUUAUUUUUGAACUUGUCUGAGUUUGGUUUGUAGAUUUGAGGGAAUACAAUAAAACUAUAUGACCUUGUAUAGAUAUUGUAUUUUUUCUUAAAACUAGGGUGGAUUACAAAUAUCGCUUUGACAACCAACAAAAUAAUCUAACAUUCCCAACACGAUCUUGUGUUUUUGACAUUGUUAUUACAUACGAAAACACAUCAUAAUUCGCCUUUAUUGUCUGUGUCUACGACCUUGUAGACCGAUAGAAGGUGUUAUUCAUUUUUUAAUUAUUCAUACAUUUUUUAAUUAAAAUGUAUAAAAAUAAACUCUGUACAACUCUUAGCAACGGAUGUCUUGGUUCCC